rnacentral:rRNA from 1 species
UGACGGUACCCUACUAGAAAGGAGCCGCUAACUUCGUGCCAGAAGCGUCGGUAAUACGGGGGCUCCAAGCGUUAUCCGGUGUUAUUGGGCGUAAAGAGUCGUGUAGGUGGUUGGGUAAGUUAUCUUUCAAAUAUCUUUGCUUAACAAAGAGGAGGGGGAUAAUACUGCUCGACUAGAAUUUUCUCAAGGGAGAUCGGAACUGAGGGAGGAGUAGUGAAAUGCGUUGAUACCCUCGGGAACACCAGUGGCGUAGGCGGAUCUCUGGGAGAAGAUUGACACUGAGACACGAAAGCUAGGGGAGCGAAGCAGAUUAGAGACCUGCGUAGUCCUAGCCGUAAACGCAUGCUUGCUAGCUGCAUGAAUCUACCUUCGGGUGGUAUCGUGUGGCGAAGGUAACCCGUUAAGCAAGCCGCCUGGAAAGUACGGCCGCAAGGCUGAAAUUCAAAGGAAUUGGCGGGGAGGCACACAACCAGUGGAACAUGUGGUUUAAUUCGAGACUAACCGAUGAACCUCACCAGGGUUUGACAUGUAGCUGCACGUCUUAAGAAAUUAAGACUCUCUUGAAGGUGCUACACAGGUGCUGCAUGGCUGUCGUCAGCUCGUUCCGUGAGGAGUGCCCUUAAGUGGGACAACGAGCGCAACCCCUAUUACAUGUUAGAAAUGUCAUGUAAGACUGCCUUGCCAUUUGGCGGGGAGGAAGGAGGGGCAGACGUCAAGUCCGCAUGGUCCUUAUGCCCUGGGCUACACACAUGUUACAAUGAGUACGGCAAUGAGUCUGUCGCGAGCACGUAAGUGUAAGCUAAUCUCUUAAAUGUACUCUCAGUGGGGAUUGAGGUCUGCAACUCGACCUCAUGAACACGGAAUUGGUAGUAAUCGCGGGUCAGCUAUACCGCGGUGAUACGUUCUUGCCUCUUGCACACACCGCCCGUCAAACCAGCAAAGUCGAUUGUAUCCGAACCU